rnacentral:rRNA from 1 species
ACACGUAGGGGGCGAGCGUUGUUCGGAAUUAUUGGGCGUAAAGGGCGUGUAGGCGGUUCUGCAAGCCUGGUGUGUAAGGCUACGGCUUAACCGUAGGAUUGCGCUGGGAACUGCAGGACUAGAGUCCGGAAAGGGGAGGUAGAAUUCCUGGUGUAGGGGUGAAAUCUGUAGAUAUCAGGAAGAAUACCGGUGGCGAAGGCGACCUCCUGGUCUAGGACUGACGCUGAGGCGCGAAAGCGUGGGGAGCGAACAGGAUUAGAUACCCUGGUAGUCCACGCUGUAAACGAUGUGCACUAGGUGUUGGGGUGACGUAGCCUCAGUGCCGUAGCUAACGCGAUAAGUGCACCGCCUGGGGAGUAUGCUCGCAAGGGUGAA